CCAAGAAACGCUAUCCAAGUAUUUUGGUACGUAUGUAUGUAUGUACAUACAUGUGUAUAUGGUACAUUCAUGUAGUACAUACAUACAUAUGUAUGCAAGUACGUACGAACGCUCGACAAUUC
rnacentral:precursor_RNA from 15 species